CGCACCGCCCCGGCCUGGAUAGCCGUCCUGGUAGGCGGCGCCCAUCCUCCCAGCCAUGGGGGGCCGCAAUCGGCGAUGGCACACGAAGCGCCACCACGGCGGCUCUCCGAACCCUCGUUCCCCGCUUCCGUCGUAUCCUGGACUUCCUGAAAAGUGAAAAUUUCACGAAAAAAAUUAACAACUGCACCUUCUGCUCCAAAACACAAGCCCAGAAGCAUGCAGCCGGCGAGUCCACCUUCUGCUCCCUCGGCGGUCCACUACGUGCCGUAGAGUUUACCGCCCGGAUUACAGCCGUGCCUUGGCCGUCUAGUGCAAUUCUUCUAUGAAAACAAACUAAAUGAUCAUAGUGAGUUCAUUUCGUGUAAAAGUGAAGUUCACUCUGCAAUAAAAUAAAUUUCAUUUGUAUAAAAUGCAUGUUAUUGAAAGAGCAAUCUUGUUUUUGUUGUAUAAAAGCAUUAUCUAGCGUUUCUUUUGCUCUUGACCAUCUACCUGUCCACUAGUGUCCUUAUGGUGCUUUUUCUGUAAAGGUAAGGAGCAUUACUUGAUCGAGCCUCCUAUGUUAUAUCUAAUAUGUGGAAUGAUGAUCUGGUAAUACUCCGUGGGGAUUUCAACAAUAAACUUAAGAUUUUCACCACGUGUGGUGGCAGUGAACUCCGGCACCCUUUUCUGGGAAGUCUAGUUUCGUUGUCGUCACACAGGCUGGACUUGAUGGCGGGCGGCCACCUGUUCAUCACGGUGGCGCAACAUGCGGAAUAAGCUAGCACGUGAUGUAACCAACACGGGAGUUCACCCUGCGCUGUCCUGGGAGUCCAUGGCUUCGGCGGGUCGUUAAUGCCCAGGUCAGCCUGCUCCUCGCACGGUUGUCGCUAUGCUGGUUGCUGCUAUGCAAAAUGCUACUGCUGCAUGUGAUUUUAUUCUUGGUCGUACUUGCUUGUGUGCCUUACAUCGCUAAGCAGUUCACUUCUAAAUUGUGAGCAGUUCGUUUAGGCCAAAAAUAUGGAGUUCACAUUCCUUUUAAAUUAAGAUAGAAGAAAAAUGUCCUCGGUAAAAUUGAUAGUUUUAGGAAGUUCAUUCGUUUCAGUUUAGACAGUGCACUUGUUAUUUAUUUCCAUCUUACAAUUCAAUUUUUAAUCGAACUUCUGUUUUAUUGUUUGCAAAGUUCAUUCCAAGUUGAUUUCAUCCAUAAGAUUGUGACAUAUAGCAGGUAGAUUCAAUCAUAUGACCUUUGUUAAUAACUAUAAUUCUAUAUGUGAAUGAGUUCAGAUUUGGCAAAAAUUGUUAAAUUUGCAUUGACUCUUUUGAAUUUAUUCAUUACAUAUUUGCAACGACAUCUAAAGCAGGAUUAGAAAAUGCAAGAAAUAUGAAGUUUAAUAUUUUGGUGUAAAUGAAAAAUGAUGUGUACUAAAUGCGUGAUAUGAAGUUCAGUAUUUCCUUGCUGUGAUGUCAACUUUUAUUACUAAACAUACCCUCUGAUAGUAACAACAGUUCACCUUGUUAAAAAAGAACCAUUGCUGGGUAGUUUACUAUGCCUGGACUGGGGAUUCAGUCUUGCUAGUAUGUACGUGCUGAUGCGUUUUAGACCGUAAAAAGGUAGAAGUUCAGUCUGCUUAUAAAAGAACGUUUACAUUUCAUUUUGUACUGAUGCUUUUCGACUUUCUAACACCAUGGAUAUGCGCUCAAGUUUCUGGUCUCAAAUCAGUUCAUUUUUUUAUGGUUCAUCUUUCUAUUUGUUUGAAGUGGUCUAAUUUUGGCCUAACAAAUUUGAUGUCUUAUAAUUGAGCCAUUUAUGUGAAUCAGGGGGCUGGACUUCCAAGACAAGGUAGCAGUAGUUGGAAGUCAGCUCCAUGCAAAAGGCAGGACUGGUGGACUACGAUGAGCCCUGGUGGUGGUCUAGCCAUCAAUGGCUUUGUCUCCUAGGGCAUCAGGAAAUUCUUUGUUGUCAUGACUCUGUGUGCUGCCCUGAGUUGAUGUGAAGUUCAGUUAGCUAGCUUUUUCAGUGUAAGUUCGUUUUAAGUCCAUGAGUAGUUCAGUCAUUGGGCUCUG